rnacentral:rRNA from 1 species
GAUGAACGCUGGCGGCGUGCCUAAUACAUGCAAGUCGAGCGAACAGACGAGGAGCUUGCUCCUCUGACGUUAGCGGCGGACGGGUGAGUAACACGUGGGUAACCUACCUAUAAGACUGGGAUAACUUCGGGAAACCGGUGCUAAUACCGGAUAACAUAUUGAAACACAUGGUUCAAUAGUGAAAGACGGAUUUGCUGUAACCUAUAGAUAGCUCGGCUUGUCAUUGGUAAGUUGGUAAGGUAACGGCUUACAAAGGCAACGAACAGUGGCCGACCGGAGAGGGUGUUCGGCCCCACUGGACCUGGGCCCCGGUCCAGACUCCUACGGGAGGCACCAGUAGGGAUUCUUCCCCAUUGGGCGAAGUCUUGCCGGACCACCCCGCCGUGGUGGAGGAAGGUCUUCGGUUCUUAAACCCUUUUUAUUAGGGAAGAACAAAUUUGUAAUUAACUAUGCACGUCUUGACGGUACCUAAUCAGAAAGCCACGGCUAACUACGUG